rnacentral:tRNA from 1 species
GGUCGCUUAGCUCAGUUGGUAGAGCGCCACCCUUACAAGGUGGAUGUCAUAAGUUCGAG